rnacentral:misc_RNA from 1 species
UUUCCGUAGGUGAACCUGCGGAAGGAUCAUUAUUGUAUAACCGAGGCGCGAGGGUUGUCGCUGACCCGAAAGGUCGUGCACGCCCGAGCGCCCUCACACUCAUCCAUCUCACCCCUAUGUGCACCACCGCGUGGGUCCCCCUUUGGCUUGUUCGGAGGGGGGCUUACGUUUUCACACAAACUUUGUAUGCAGUGUAGAAUGUAUUUUUUGUUUUUGCGAUCACGCAAUCAAUACAACUUUCAACAACGGAUCUCUUGGCUCUC